ensembl:lncRNA
UCGUGGCCCCUCCCUCUCCUGCAGGGCGAAUGACCCAGCUACAUUAACCUCUGCCGGAGACAAAGCGCUCUGCGUGGACGGACGACGUCAUCAGCUCACAGGCUCAUCAGACACGACUGUUUGCUGAGAUACAAACGCACGGCCGGAUUCCCCCGUCCUGCAGAUACAUAAAUGCUUUAGAAGAUGUGUGUGCUCCUUUUGUCUUUCUGUAUUAUUAAGAUUGGUUUAUUCUACUUAGGUGCAGCCAUACAAAGAACAUGAUACAAUACAAAAUGUUACGACUGGAACAUUGACGCCACCUGAGUGACUCAGAGCGCUGGCUAAUAGUUCAAACCAGUCCCAUCACAUACCAAGACUGCCACUUACUGCCAGCCUGAUAGGCAGUCUGAAAAUAGCCCGUGUGUGUGUGUGUGUGUGUGUGUGUGUGUGUGUGUGUGUGUGUGUGUGUGUGUGUGUGUGUGUGUGUGUGUGAGACUCAACAAACAUGUUUUCACUGUGUGGUUACAGUCUGCUGCAGAUGAAGGGGAAGAGACUCAAACAGGGCUCCCAUGGCCCCUCCAUCUUUGCCUGCUGAUACAGAGAACACUGGUGGUUCCCCAAACUGGGGGACGCGACCCUUAGGGGGGUCACGGUAGGCUAAACAAGGGGGGCAGUGUGCUUAUAUGCUCAAGGGGGCCACGACAGAAGAAGUUUGGAUACCACUGCUCUCCACUUUGACACUACGACACAUGCUGGUCACAUGGUGAACAUGUGACACCUAACAAAUAUUACUUUGGUAUAAUUCCACGUGACAGUUUAAACACACGUGCGCUAACGAGGUAACGUUUUGACGUCCCGCGUUAAAGUGCCCCUCUAGACGGUGACCUCAUGCCCUCUGACAGUAAUUUGUCUUCAUGAGGAUCAACAAGGUUGGUGUUACCAUGGAGUUUGAAUCUGGAACAUUUUCAUUGGUAAACACUGACCGACCCAACAACCUGCUAGUAAAUAAACUCUACACUUUGUGGUUGAGCACAUGCAAACACACACAACCACAUAAACAAGCCCAUGCAUGCACAAACACACACAUGCACACACACAUAAUAUAUCAGUUAGCUUUGGGGAACUUGUGAGGGAUUAUCAACAUCAAAGUCAAUAGAAAUGUCAGCCUGGCUAUCUUUGGAAAUGCCAGCAACCCUUUGCAUAUCCGUAACACACAACCAACACACACACACACACACACACACACCUGCCCCUAGCAGAGGAGCUGAUUAAAGCUGCUCUGGUGAGUGUGGCUUUUGAUCUCCAAACAUACUGGAAAGCACUUAAAGGCAAAGCUAAGCAGCAGAAACAGAUGACAUCACAACACCUCGGGGCCCCUUCCUGCAGCUCCAUCAACCAGAUUAACUGGAUUAGACACUCGGGCUGCAUGUAUUAAUAAUAUUGAGAGGUUCUCAGGUGAUCUGAAUGAGAUGCAUGGACUAUUGGUCUGUGUAACUCUGCUACCAAAAUAUAACAUUCACAAUACCCUUUGUGGUAUUACUUCUUUAAAGCAUCCAACGUUGUAAUACAUUUGGUUACUGAGACCGAAAGUACUUGCAUGUCAGUCGGCAGAUAAUGUUUCUGCAAACUUCAGAAACCAAAAUAUGUUUCUUAAAUAAGUUUCUGCCUCAUAUCAUGCUGACAGAUGUGCAUGAAGUGAAAUAAGUUUAUGGUUUAAGGAGCAAACUCCCAUGGAUAUAGUUAGAAAAAAUGUCACGGCUUGAGUUAAAAUGAUAAAAAGUCAUUUAACAACCCUAUUUACAUAACCAGUAUGAAUAUAUAACAAUAGUAGCCUAAAGUUAGUAACAACAUGAUUGUACAUCAAAGGCUGUGUUUGUGUGACCCGUCUAGCUACGUCAUUUGUUUUGUACAUCGGCCAUUUUAUUUGCGGUUUGCAGAAAUGUAUGAAAUUAUUUUUGAUUAACUGAGCCGCAUCGAUAUCUACAGGCUGAGGAAUUCAGUUUCAUUAUUUAUGGUUUAUACACCUGUGAAGAUUGUGAACACUUUGAGAUACCUUCCUCUGUGCGCCGUAGCACGUGUACCGUAUAUUGAAGACAAAUCAGCAAAUUGACAUGCACACGUUUCUGUUAACCUGUUAACCCCUUGACCUCCAGCAGCUGGAGUAGCUUUUACCUGUAAAUAAUGAACAUCAUUCUAUUUUCAAUUUCAUUCUUUCGUUUGCCUUUUGCUUCGUUUUACUUUUUCAGACUUUCACGACAAAGUCUCCUGUUCAGGCUACGAGUGAAUAUGAAACACUAAUUACCAAAUCAACGCUUUUCCCCGUCACUGAAUAUUGAUGACCUUUGACCUUUCCGCUGCACCGUUGAAAUAAACCUACUUCUGUGUUGGUGUUUGAAGUGCAGUGGGAGGAGGACAAUGACUCCGGUGUAAACGGAUCGAUGGCCUCCUCCCUGUUUACUACACAGUGAGGAGGAAGCGCUGUCGACCUCUGACCCCGGUCACUCAUCUCUAUCCACACACGGGUAACCGGAGACUGCAGAACCGCACCUCCCUCUGCACAUCCCCCCGCGCCUCCUGCCGCCCCUUCCUGAGCUGAGAGGAAACAGGCAGAAUGGAUGACUUACGCCUCAGGAAUCACAACACAUGGGGCCUCACAGGACAUUUUAACUAUUUGUGUUUACAUCCAAAAUGUAAGUGGUAACACUACGACGCACAAAAUGACUUGUUAUAAGAUUAUUUAUAAUUUAUCUCAUUUGUUCAAAUAGUAACUCAUUGUAAUUGCAUGCAUGUACCAUAUAGUACAACUUUUUUCAUUGUUGGUUGUAAAUAGAUUGCACAUUCAAAUGUGUCACAGAGACACACACACACCAAAGCAACAUUACCGAUGAUUCCUGCAUCAUUUUAUCAAUGUACAACAAUUCAGCUUUUUUCCUGGAGUUUUUUGUGCUUUCUCACCUCGCAGGUCUCCGUAGACCCUAGUUCACUCUGGAACUAUUACUGUCAUCAUAGACCCACAUUUCCCUCUCCUAAAGUCUGUGUGCUCUCCCUCCCCACAGGCUUCUGUGGGUGGUGGUGCUAUCUGAUGGUGGUUCAGUGUGAUGAUGGUUCUAUCUGAUGGUGGUUCUAUCUGAUGGUGGUUCUAUCUGAUGGUGGUUCUGUCUGACAGUGGUUCUAUCUGAUGGUGGUUCAGUGUGAUGAUGGUUCUAUCUGAUGGUGGUUCUAUCUGACAGUGGUUCUAUCUGAUGGUGGUUCUAUCUGACAGUGGUUCUAUCUGAUGGUGGUUCAGUGUGAUGAUGGUUCUAUCUGAUGGUGGUUCUAUCUGACAGUGGUUCUAUCUGAUGGUGGUUCUAUCUGACAGUGGUUCUAUCUGAUGGUGGGUCAGUGUGAUGUUGUUUCUAUCUGACGGUGGUUCUAUCUGACGGUGGUUCUAUCUGAUGGUGGUUCAGUGUGAUGAUAGUUCUAUCUGAUGGUGGAGAUUCUAUCUGAUGAUGGUUCUAUCUGAUGGUGGAGGUUCUAUCUGAUGGUGGUUCUAUCUGACAGUGGUUCUAUCUGAUGGUGGUUCAGUGUGAUGAUAGUUCUAUCUGAUGGUGGAGAUUCUAUCUGAUGAUGGUUCUAUCUGAUGGUGGUUCUAUCUGAUGGUGGUUCUAUCUGAUGGUGGAGGUUCUAUCUGAUGGUGGAGGUUCCUGCAGUGG